rnacentral:rRNA from 1 species
UGAAUACGAGACGCUACGGCGUUGAAGCAGUGUAUGUCAUACUUCCAAGAAAAGCUCGCAAGGUCAUAAACAAAUAAUGCCUGUACCAUAACCGACACAGGUGGGUAGGUAGAGUAUACUAAGGGGCGCGAGAUAACUCUCUCUAAGGAACUCGGCAAAAUGACUCCGUAACUUCGGGAGAAGGAGUGCCUUAUUUUAUAAGGUUGCAAUAACAAGAUCCAAGCAACUGUUUAUCAAAAACACAGGUCUCCGCUAAGUCGUAAGACGAUGUAUGGGGGCUGACGCCUGCCCAGUGCCAGAAGGUUAAAGAAGUUGGUUAGCAAUUGCAAAGCUGAUGACUGAAGCCCUGGUGAACGGCGGCCGUAACAAUAACGGUCCUAAGGUAGCGAAAUUCCUUGUCGGGUAAGUUCCGACCCGCACGAAAGGCGUAAUGAUUUGGAUACUGUCUCAGAGAGGGGCUCGGUGAAAUAGACUUGUCUGUGAAGAUGCGGACUACCUGCACCUGGACAGAAAGACCCUAUGAAGCUUUACUGUAACUUGAAAUUGAAACUGGACUUUACUUGCGCAGGAUAGGUGGGAGGCGUUGAGAGUAUUCUUGCGGGAAUAUUGGAGCCAUCGGUGAGAUACCACUCUUGUAAUGUUAGGUUUCUAACUUGGUAUCAUGAUCUGGUCCAAGAACAGUUUCAGGCGGGCAGUUUGACUGGGGCGGUCGCCUCCUAAACGGUAACGGAGGCGUACAAAGGUUUCCUCUGAACGGGUAGAAAUCGUAUCUAGAGUGUAAAGGCAUAAGGAAGCUUGACUGUGAGACCUACAAGUCGAGCAGGGACGAAAGUCGGUCUUAGUGAUCUGACGGUGCUGAGUGGAAAGGCCGUCACUCAACGGAUAAAAGUUACUCUAGGAUAACAGGCUGAUCUCCCCCAAGAGUUCACAUCGACGGGGAGGUUUGGCACCUCGAUGUCGGCUCAUCGCAUCCUGGGGCGGUAGUACGUCCCAAGGGUUGGGCUGUUCGCCCAUGAAAGCGGUACGCGAGCUGGGUUCAGAACGUCGUGAGACAGUUCGGUCCUUAUCCGGUGUAGGCGUUAGAAUAUUGAGAGGAGCCUUCUUUAGUACGAGAGGACCGAGAAGGACACACCUAUGGUGUACCAGUUAUCGUGCCAACGGUAAACGCUGGGUAGCUAUGUGUGGAGUGGAUAACCGCUGAAAGCAUCUAAGUGGGAAGCCCACCUCAAGAUGAGUAUUCUCAC